rnacentral:rRNA from 1 species
AACGAACGCUGGCGGCGCGCCUAAUACAUGCAAGUCGAGCGAGAAGACGUAGCAAUACGUUUGUAAAGCGGCGAACGGGUGAGGAAUACAUGGGUAACCUACCCUCGAGUGGAGAAUAACUAGCCGAAAGGUUAGCUAAUACCGCGUACGCUCCUUGGACUUCGGUUCAGGGAGGAAAGCGAUACCGUGGGUAUCGCGCUCUUGGAUGGGCUCAUGUCCUAUCAGCUUGUUGGGAGGUAACGGCUCACCAAGGCUUCGACGGGUAGCUGGUCUGAGAGGACAAUCAGCCACACUGGCACUGCGACACGGGCCAGACUCCUACGGGAGGCAGCAGUAAGGAAUAUUGCGCAAUGGGCGAAAGCCUGACGCAGCGACGCCGCGUGGGGGAUGAAGGUCUUCGGAUUGUAAACCCCUUUCGGGAGGGAAGAUGGAACGAGCAAUCGUUCGGACGGUACCUCCAG